rnacentral:rRNA from 1 species
CUGGCCUACGGGGGGCAGCAGUGAGGAAUAUUGGUCAAUGGACGAAAGUCUGAACCAGCCAUGCCGCGUGAGCGAUGAAGGUCUUCGGAUUGUAAAGCUCUGUCGCAGGGGACGAAGUAUGACGGUACCCUGUAAGAAAGCCCCGGCAAACUACGUGCCAGCAGCCGCGGUAAUACGUAGGGGGCUAGCGUUGUCCGGAAUUACUGGGCGUAAAGGGAGUGUAGACGGCUUGUCAAGUUAAGUGUGAAAGCCUGCGGCUUAACCGCAGAAUUGCACUUAAAACUGACUCGCUAGAGUGCAGGAGA